GACCUCGGAUCAGGUAGGGGUACCCGCUGAACUUAA
rnacentral:rRNA from 3 species